rnacentral:rRNA from 1 species
CCUACGGGAGGCAGCAGUGAGGAAUAUUGGUCAAUGGUCGGGAGACUGAACCAGCCAAGCCGCGUGAGGGAUGAAGGUACAGAGUAUCGUAAACCUCUUUUGUCAGGGAACAAAGGCGGGGACGCGUCCCCGGAUGAGUGUACCUGAAGAAAAAGCAUCGGCUAACUCCGUGCCAGCAGCCGCGGUAAUCCGGAGGCUGCGAGCGUUAUCCGGAUUUAUUGGGUUUAAAGGGUGCGCAGGCGGUCUGUUAAGUCAGGGGUCAAAGCCCGGGGCUCAACCCCGGCUCGCCGUUGAAACUGGCAGUCUAGAGUUGGAUAGAGGUAGGCGGAAUGCGUGGUGUAGCGGUGAAAUGCAUAGAGAUCGAGAAGAACUCCGAUUGCGAAGGCAGCAUGCCGGCUCCACACUGACGCUGAGGCACGAAAGCGUGGGGAUCGAACAGGAUUAGAUACCCCAGUAGUC